rnacentral:rRNA from 1 species
CUGUGAGCUCGAUGAGUAGGGCGGGACACGUGGUAUCCUGUCUGAAUAUGGGGGGACCAUCCUCCAAGGCUAAAUACUCCUGACUGACCGAUAGUGAACCAGUACCGUGAGGGAAAGGCGAAAAGAACCCCGGCGAGGGGAGUGAAAAAGAACCUGAAACCGUGUACGUACAAGCAGUGGGAGCACAGAGCAAUCUGUGUGACUGCGUACCUUUUGUAUAAUGGGUCAGCGACUUAUAUUCUGUAGCAAGGUUAACCGAAUAGGGGAGCCGAAGGGAAACCGAGUCUUAACUGGGCGUUAAGUUGCAGGGUAUAGACCCGAAACCCGGUGAUCUAGCCAUGGGCAGGUUGAAGGUUGGGUAACACUAACUGGAGGACCGAACCGACUAAUGUUGAAAAAUUAGCGGAUGACUUGUGGCUGGGGGUGAAAGGCCAAUCAAACCGGGAGAUAGCUGGUUCUCCCCGAAAGCUAUUUAGGUAGCGCCUCGUGAAUUCAUCUCCGGGGGUAGAGCACUGUUUCGGCAAGGGGGUCAUCCCGACUUACCAACCCGAUGCAAACUGCGAAUACCGGAGAAUGUUAUCACGGGAGACACACGGCGGGUGCUAACGUCCGUCGUGAAGAGGGAAACAACCCAGACCGCCAGCUAAGGUCCCAAAGUCAUGGUUAAGUGGGAAACGAUGUGGGAAGGCCCAGACAGCCAGGAUGUUGGCUUAGAAGCAGCCAUCAUUUAAAGAAAGCGUAAUAGCUCACUGGUCGAGUCGGCCUGCGCGGAAGAUGUAACGGGGCUAAACCAUG